ACGGGUGAGUAACACGUAAGUAAUCUGCCUUUAAGAUUGGGAUAACCUUGCCAACGCGGGGCUAAUACCGGAUGUGGUCGGAUGGACGCAUGUCUGUCUGAUUAAAGGAGUGAUCCGCUUAAAGAUGAACUUGCGGCCCAUUAGUUAGUUGGCGGGGUAACGGCCCACCAAGACAGCGAUGGGUAGCCGGCCUGAGAGGGUGUACGGCCACAUUGGGACUGAGAUACGGCCCAGACUCCUACGGGAGGCAGCAGUAGGGAAUUUUGCGCAAUGGACGAAAGUCUGACGCAGCAACGCCGCGUGAGGGAUGAAGGCCUUCGGGUUGUAAACCUCUGUUGGACAGGAAAAAAAGGUAGCAAUACUUUGAUGGUACUGUCUGAGGAAGCACCGGCUAACUACGUGCCAGCAGCCGCGGUAAUACGUAGGGUGCAAGCGUUGUUCGGAAUCACUGGGCGUAAAGAGAGCGUAGGCGGGAUCGUAAGUUAGAAGUUUAAUACAUGGGCUUAACCCGUGGUCAGCUUUUAAUACUGCGGUUCUUGAGUAUGGGAGAGGGCGAUGGAAUUCCAGGUGUAGCGGUGGAAUGCGUAGA
rnacentral:rRNA from 1 species